GUGGGUCUAGCUCAGUGGUAGAGCAUGUGUUUAGCAUGCACGAGGUCCUAGGUUCAAUCCCCAGUACCUCCA
rnacentral:tRNA from 1 species